UCAUCUGCUAGACUCUUGUCAAAACUAUUUAAGCAUGUUGAAGUGAAAUUUUGAGUGUAGGGCAUAUUGUUUAUAUUGUUUAGAAAGAAAGUGAAAGUGAUAAUGACUUGUUGCAUCAUAGGGUGUAGGACAGGUUAUAAACCAACAAGAAAACAUCCAAAUCCUACCAAACAUAGUAGUUUUUAUUUUCCAAAAUACUUUGAACUAAGAGGCAAAUGAAUAACUGCAGUUAGCCUCCAUUCAGUUAAAAGAGAAAAUUGGGCUCUGAAGCCCCAAAGCAGAGUGUGUGCACGUCAUUUCUUGUCUAGUGAUUUUCGCGUUGAUAAAAUAAAUAUUGAAGAAGAAACCAUAAAUACAAUUGAUGGAAUGCGAAGCAGGCUUUUACCACAUGCAAUACCAUCUAUCUAUCUAACACCGGAGGAAGGUAAUGAACCACAGCUACCGACCGUUCAAAAAGGAAAGCUGUUGAUGAAUCAAGUUGCUCUACAACUUCUUUACCCCUUAAAAGAAAAACAUAUGAAAGAGAGCCAUGUCAUCAGAUAUUGUAACUACAACAAUCCCAUCUACAGACCACAACCCCAUUUCAUGUGAACGAGAAUGUUGGCAUGCAUGUAGAGUGCUGAGGAGACACAACUUUCAAUUGUUACAGAUGUCCUGACUUCAAACACUGAAGAAUGUAAUGUCAUACAUCAAGGGAACUCAAGACAUAGUGAUCACCAGCCAAACAACAAGUCUACCUUUGAGAGAUCUGUUGUGGCCGACUAUCCUGAAAGGAUUUCUUCAUUACCCACCUCAAUCGACGAUCUCGGAAUAUUCAUUCCGGCUGACAACUGGACAGAGUUAAACCAAGGACUCGUGAACAGACCCAGCCACAAUACUUAUUUGGUUGAAGCAAUGUUUGUUGGAGAAGUCCAUUCCAUUAGGAAAUCAGUUACUGUUGACUUCCUACAUUCAACUGUGACCACUUAUAUGCUUGGCAAAUUAUGUGACCCGACCAAUUCUGGAAUGGAAAAUCCCCAAAAAUUCUAAAAUUAUGCUGAAGCAAACUACAUAUUGAGAGAAUUCGCGGCAAGAGGUCGAUGUGUCGGAAUUUCAGUCGCCAAAUUUCAAAACAUAAGUCAUGUGAAUACUGAAUUAUAUAUUGUGUAACCUGAUUACUAAAACGAUAUUUGCAGAGCUACUAGGUACGUUCAUUGUUUACAACUUAUGCAAUACUUAACUGCUUACUUUAAAAAUCAUUUAUGCAAUGCAGAUGCCAUUUACUCUAAAAAAACAAUGUUAUGACAUGUGACACUUUUGAGGAUGAGCUUUUCAAAAAUCACAAUGUCACUGAAACGUUCACGAUAACUUUGCAGAAUUGUUUGUCUCUCGUUAGUAAAGUUGUUUAGCAAUUCGAAUAAAAAGAACAAAGUUUCUACACGGUGGUAUAAAAAAAUUAAA